rnacentral:rRNA from 1 species
CCUACGGGUGGCAGCAGUGAGGAAUAUUGGUCAAUGGCCGGAAGGCUGAACCAGCCAAGUAGCGUGAGGGAGGAAUGCGCAGAGCGUUGUAGACCUCUUUUGUCGGGGGAUAAAACGAGGGACUCGUCCCGUCCUGUGUGUACCCUGUGAAAAAGGAUCGGCUAACUCCGUGCCAGCAGCCGCGGUAAUACGGAGGAUCCGAGCGUUAUCCGGAUUUAUUGGGUUUAAAGGGUGCGUAGGGGGGGUGUUAAGUCAGUUGUGAAAGUUUGCGGCUCAACCGUACAAGUGCAGUGGGAACUGGCAGCCUUGAGUACAGUAGAGGCAGGCGGAAUUCGCGGUGUAGCGGUGAAAUGCUUAGAUAUCGCGAAGAACUCCGAUUGCGAAGGCAGCGUAC